CCUACGGGUGGCAGCAGUGGGGAAUAUUGCACAAUGGGCGCAAGCCUGAUCCAGCAACGCCGCGUGAAGGAAGAAGGCUUUCGGGUUGUAAACUUCUUUUCUUGGGGACGAAGAAAGUGACGGUACCCAAGGAAUAAACCACGGCUAACUACGUGCCAGCCGCCGCGGUAAUACGUAGGUGGCAAGCGUUAUCCGGAUUUAUUGGGGGUAAAGGUCGUGAAGGCGGGAUUGCAAGUCUGAUGUGAAAACCACGGGCUCAACCUGGGGCCUGCAUUUGAAACUGGAGUUCUUGAGUGCGGGAGAGGGAAUCGGAAUUCCGUGUGUAGCGGUGAAAUGCGUAGAUAUACGGAGGAACACCAGUGGCGAAGGCGGAUUGCUGGACAGUAACUGACGCUGAGGCGCGAAAGCGUGGGGAGCAAACAGGAUUAGAUACCCCAGUAGUC
rnacentral:rRNA from 1 species